GUUCCAACCUAGAUUUUGCUGUCUGCAAUCUUUACGGUUUGGAGUGUGGUACCAUAAUCAUACCUUUGUCGCGUGCUAGGAUUCAGUUUGUUAAAAUACUACCUUAAAAAUAUUUUAGACCUCUCACAUUAAAAAAAACACGGUUAUAAGUUUUCUAAAAAUGCUAUAGUAUUUUUUGAAAUAAUUCUACCAAGACCAUGUUAUUUACCACACUCACCCCGCGCCGCCAUUAGCAACCAGUUGCAGAUCAUGGACAUGCAAACAGUGCUACCAGUCCACAGCUCGAGCAGAGUACUGACACAGAAAAACACGUUUCACUUGAAAUUACGUUAAAACAGUUAAAUGAAUUUGGCAAAAAUGAGCUUUAAAAGUAAAUUGUUGUAAGUUGCUGGAUGACCAGUUUGUCUGCUACACACCAUUGCCCUCUACCUCCGAGCCAUACAUUGAAACAAACUUUCCUUAGACAUUAUGUCCGCAACAACCGAACCAUGCUCCACGGAAACAUUAGCGUCGCAAGUGAGUGUAUUUAUUUCUAAUAAAACUUCCUCGGACGACAGAUCAAGAUCCAUUACGUCACUGAACUGCUCAAAUUGUGACAGGAACAUUGCUACGCAGCCCUUAACCGGUGGUGAAAAUGUUGUACGGAACUACCAUACUUCACCUCACUACAUGCCCCUAGCACUUAUCGCCAUGAUUUUGAAUCCGCUUCUUGGCAUUCCCGCGUCAGUCUGUAGCUGUAUUUCUAGUCGAUACAGAAAAUCUGGUGACUCCAUCCGGUCGUCUAAGUACAGCGAGCUAGCAUUGUGGCUCAGCAUAAUCGCUAUUGCAUCUUCGUUAGUCAUCAUCAUCUUCGUCUUGGUGUACGCAUUUAUCAUUACACCCAACAUUAUACUCAAUAUUAAUGGUGAUGUCAACGAAAGCUUUGUGCUAGCGGACGAAGUGUCGUAUGCGACAAGCUCACCGUGAGCAUUUAAUUUGAUUAAUUUUGUAAACGGCAACUUUUAUUGUUAAAAACAUUGUUUUGAUUCUUAAAAAAGAAAAGGAAAAUGAUAUCCAGUAAUAGAAUCUAAGAGCCACAGGAGUCUACAAUUUCACCAAUAAGGAAAUUCCAUUAUUUCUGAAUUUUCACACUGUAAAAUUAAAAUUCAGACUAUUAAA